UACAGAGGGGGCAAGCGUUGUUCGGAAUUACUGGGCGUAAAGGGCGCGUAGGCGGCCUUCUAAGUCGAACGUGAAAUCCCCGGGCUCAACCCGGGAACUGCGUCCGAUACUGGGAGGCUUGAAUUCGGGAGAGGGAUGCAGAAUUCCAGGUGUAGCGGUGAAAUGCGUAGAUAUCUGGAGGAAUACCGGUGGCGAAGGCGGCAUCCUGGACCGAGAUUGACGCUGAUGAGCGAAAGCUAGGGGAGCAAACGGG
rnacentral:rRNA from 1 species